UACGGAGGGUGCAAGCGUUAUCCGGAUUUAUUGGGUUUAAAGGGUCCGUAGGCGGAUUAAUAAGUCAGUGGUGAAAGCCCGCAGCUUAACUGUGGAACUGCCAUUGAUACUGUUAGUCUUGAGUGUAGUUGAAGUGGCUGGAAUGAGUAGUGUAGCGGUGAAAUGCAUAGAUAUUACUCAGAACACCAAUUGCGAAGGCAGGUCACUAAGUUACAACUGACGCUGAUGGACAAAAGCGUGGGGAGCGAACAGG
rnacentral:rRNA from 1 species